UUUUCCUGUCUCAUUUUGCCGGAUUUUAAUUAAUAAAUGAAGUUAAUUGAUCGCAAUAAAAGUAUAAUAAUUCAUUAAAUAGACAUUCGAUGGUUUAUCCUCAGCCCAGUGAUCGAUUCUGACACGAUGAUGGUGGCUAUAUCGUUCGAUUCAUCAAACAGUACUCGUUGGAAUUGGUGAAAAAUUAUCAAAAAACACCUAGAAUUCGGUUUCAUUAGUACUAACGGCGCUGAAUUGUUCUAUACCUACGUCCUACGUUGAGAGUAAAUUGAUCAUCGUCGCUUGUUUCAUAGAUCGUUCAGCUCUCAUUGAGGCAUAACGGGAUGAAUUCAAAGAAAAGUCGAAGAAAAUCCGGCGUUGAAUUGUUCUCGUACCUAACCUACGUUAAUAGUAAAUUAAUCACCAAUCACCAUCGCUUGUUAGUUUGUUCCAUGGAUUGUUCAGCUCUCAUUGAGACAUGAUGGGAUGAAUUCUGGAAAAGGAGUCCAUGAUUGCUGGUUUUGAAGAUAAUGAAAAUACCGAUGUGCAACUUUUAUUAAUUUGAAGUAAUCUCAGCUGUACGAUCAUAGCAACGAUUUCAUAAAGACGGAGAGUCGGGGACCUAAUCUCGCAGCAUCCUUCAUGCACCUUCGCUUCAGAUUGACCGCAAGGCAACGUGGGCAAACUACACGACUACACGUCUUCAGCAGCACAUUCUCAUCGAAAGGAUUUCUCCAUGGAGCAGCUUGUUAAAAAGUGGAAAUGGGAAUAUCUAGGAGGACUCAUCAAAGCCAUCCAAGAAUUUUCUCAACAAAAUGAAACUAUUAAUUAAUGGCCAGUUGGACCAGCAGUUCGUAAGCUUCGUGAGAAACUCGUAUUUGGCCGAUGAUAUAGACGCAUCUUGAAGUCAUCUACAGUCGCAGUCGAUAAUUGGUCACUUAUGGUUUAAUUUUAAUUAUAAAAAUUGCAAUCCGUACCUACCUUUGUUUGUACACAAAUGAAAAAUGAUUGAGCUAAAUAUUUUAUGUAAUCUCUUGAUAAACAUUGUAAAUAAUAUUGUAUUCUCAAGCAUUGUUAUUUUAAUAAAUUGUUGAUUUUUAUGUGUU